UACGUAGGUGGCUAGCGUUGUCCGGAUUUACUGGGCGUAAAGGGCGCGUAGGCGGCCACCGCAAGUCGACUGUGAAAUCUCCGGGCUUAACUCGGAAAGGUCAGCCGAUACUGCGGGGCUAGAGUGCAGAAGGGGCAACUGGAAUUCUCGGUGUAGCGGUGAAAUGCGUAGAUAUCGAGAGGAACACCUGCGGCGAAGGCGGGUUGCUGGGCUGACACUGACGCUGAUGUGCGAAAGCUAGGGGGAGCGAACGGG
rnacentral:rRNA from 1 species